CAUUCGGAGGAAGUUGCACGGCGAAUGCAAAACCCUCUUAGCGAGCUGGGUUUCUUUGCACUUAAAAAAAAAAAAGAAAAAAAAAGAAAAAAGAAAAAAAUUGUGAUUAAGGAAGCCUUGCGGGGCGGGAGGGGGUGUGUGCAGGCCUAGAAGCAAGUUGCAGACGGAAUAGUGCCAGCGCUUGGCACUUCUGAUCGGAGCUGAGGCUGCCGUGGCUCCACCCCAUUCUCUCCCCCAGCCGAUCGCGCAGCACUUGGACUCCGAGGGCGGUCUCCUCUGCCUGACCUCUUGGAGAUCUCUGAUUGGGGAAGCGCGUGCCGGAAGUCUCUCGCCGCCAUCUUGGUAAAGAGCAGUGACGCCACACGGUCACCAUUUUGGCAGAGGUGCUCUUUAGCUUCAAAACCGAGGCGCCCUUUCUUGGAUGGAAAAUGUAAAGGCUGCCCAAUGUGUCUUCCGCUUUGCGCGGGUAGGCCGUGGCUGUAAGACGGCCCCUGGGCCAGAGGUGCUGCACAAUCGCUACCUCCAUGGGAGCCAGGGCCGCCAUCUUGGCAAAGGAGCCGAAGCUUGACACCUCAAGAAGGAAAACCCAUCCCAGUGCGGACCUCCUUCUCCAGGAGAGGAGUUAUGAAGAGCCCUUGAACCACUUAGUGUUGAAAACAAAAAA